UGCUCCUGAUCCUCAAACCACUUCUGGUUCUCCACCCUCUCCUCCAUCAUCAUCUCUUCCUGUUCUCUACCUCCUUGUGUUUCUAUCAUGUGUGAUUCUUGUGGUUUUCCUGCUGAUUCUGGUUUUAGUGGUGAAACGAUGCGUUCAGAGAAAACCUGAAGAUAAUCUAGAAGAUGGAGAGGACAACAUUACUUACAGUAACAUCCAAACUUCACAUCAUCGACGACAGAAAAUCAAAUCAAAUGAAGAUGUUUUUACAGUUGCAGUUUUUUCGGAGGGACUUCAGUUCAGGACG